AAUAUUGGACAAUGGGCGAAAGCCUGAUCCAGCCAUGCCGCGUGUGUGAAGAAGGUCCUCGGUUUGUAAAGCACUUUAAGUUGGGAGGAAGGGCAGUAAGUUAAUACGCUGCUUUUUUGACGUUCCCGACAGAAUAAGCACCGGCAAACUUUGUGCCAGCAGCCGCGGUAAUACGGAGGGUGCAAGCGGUAAUCGGAAUUACUGGGUGGAAAGCGAGCGUAGGUGGGUUGUUAAGUUGGAAGUGGAAGCCCCGGGCUCAACCUGGGAACUGCUUUCAAAACUGGGAAGCUAGGGUAUGGCAGAGGGUGGUGGAAUUUCCUGUGUAGCGGUGAAAUGCGUAGAUAUAGGAAGGAACACCAGUGGCGAAGGCGACCACCUGGGCUAAUACUGACACUGAGGUGCGAAAGCGUGGGGAGCAAACAG
rnacentral:rRNA from 1 species